AGAGUUUGAUCCUGGCUCAGUAUGAACGCGGGCGGCGUGCCUAACACAUGCAAGUCGAACGAAGCACCUUACCUGAUUCUUCGGAUGAAGGUCUGGUGACUGUGUGGCGGACGGGUGAGUAACGCGUGGGUAACCUGCCCUGUACAGGGGGAUAACAGUUGGAAACGGCUGCUAAUACCGCAUAAGCGCACGAGAGGACAUCCUCUUGUGUGAAAAACUCCGGUGGUACAGGAUGGGCCCGCGUCUGAUUAGCUGGUUGGCAGGGUAACGGCCUACCAAGGCGACGAUCAGUAGCCGGUCUGAGAGGAUGAACGGCCACAUUGGAACUGAGACACGGUCCAAACUCCUACGGGAGGCAGCAGUGGGGAAUAUUGCACAAUGGGGGAAACCCUGAUGCAGCAACGCCGCGUGAGUGAAGAAGUAUUUCGGUAUGUAAAGCUCUAUCAGCAGGGAAGAUAAUGACGGUACCUGACUAAGAAGCUCCGGCUAAAUACGUGCCAGCAGCCGCGGUAAUACGUAUGGAGCAAGCGUUAUCCGGAUUUACUGGGUGUAAAGGGUGCGUAGGUGGCAGUGCAAGUCAGAUGUGAAAGGCCGGGGCUCAACCCCGGAGCUGCAUUUGAAACUGCGCGGCUAGAGUACAGGAGAGGCAGGCGGAAUUCCUAGUGUAGCGGUGAAAUGCGUAGAUAUUAGGAGGAACACCAGUGGCGAAGGCGGCCUGCUGGACUGUUACUGACACUGAGGCACGAAAGCGUGGGGAGCAAACCAGGAUUAGAUACCCUGGUAGUCCACGCCGUAAACGAUGA
rnacentral:rRNA from 1 species